CAGAGUCAGAGAGAAAACUUUCAGCCACAGGGGUUUGUGGAUGCCUCAGGAUAGGUGAGGCUGCUCCCAAGAAGGAGGUCCUGAGGGAGCAGGAGGUGAGCUCAGGUGCACACAGAGGACUCAGUUGGGGAGUCUCCCUUAAAAGUGGCAGCCACCCUGAGUCACUAAGUCUGCGACUCACCUCUGGCAGAGAGGAGGCAGGACAAGUAACAAAGCUGGUGCUUCCUGGGAUGUUAUCUGUGGGCCAGUCCCUGGUUUGCAAAUCCCUUCCGCGCAUGAACUUAUCUAAAGCCCUAUGAGGUGGAGCUAGUACCGGCACUAUCCCAUACUGCAGAUGGAGAAAUUGAGGCCCUGUGCGGUGGGGGUUAUUCCAGACUCUUCGGCCAGGACACAGGCAUUUGGCUAAACCUAGUGUUUGUGGCAGGGUCUGUUCUGAUUGGCCGAUGCCUGUCCUACUGGUUAGUCAAUGUUUUGAAGGUCACCCUGGUUACACAGCUGGAGGAGGCAGAAUCCCAACCAACCCCUGGGGCUGGAGCCCUGCUCUGAACCACGAUCCUCUCUCCGUCUAGCGCCGCAGCGCACCUCAGGACAAGUAAUGUGCGUCGAAGGGCUUUGGAAACUGCAAGGCACAGUAUAAAUAACAGGUUCCUUCAUUCCUCCUGGGCAGGAACUUUGGCCUCAACAGUUCCUUCUUUGUUGAGGCCAAAGAAGCUGGGCCAUGAGAAGGCAGAGGAAACGCUGCUGUGGGGAACCAGCAUUCUCUCUGCUUACUCAACGGGGAAAGUGAGUCAGAAGGGAAGCCUCCCUGAGUGGAGCCCCAUGGUCAGCCCCUGGGAGGUUCUCACGUGCCAGACGCCAUCCGGCACUAACCAGGUUAGCCUGGACUUGUCCCCAGGGACCGUCCAGGCUCUCCUGCAACUGGCCACCAGGGGGCGCCGCUCCCCCAGCCUUCCUCUUACUGAACCUACCCCCCCACCACCCCCUCAACAACCUGCUCGCGAGAAACCAGGCCUUGGAAGGAGUCCGGGGGAGCAGGCACCAGAGACUUUGAAAAGCGGCAAAAACGCGGGAGAUGCUGAGUGGAGCCCUGUGGAGGAGUGCCUGUUCCCAUUUUACAGAUGAGGAAUUUGAGGCCCAAAGAUGUUGGCAACAAUUCCAGCUGCCCCUUCUCCAACCUGAACUUUCUGGAAGCCUGGGCACCUGCUUCAUUGUUCUCCAGGGACCCCCAUCAGCCACCCAUCCCACACCCUCCCCAUCUGGGCAGAGCCGGGAGCCCCCUCUGCAGCCCUGUCCUGCUUGACAUCCUUCCCCACCCCAGGGACCCCGCGGGGUCAGGCUUUGCUCCUCGACACCCCAUGGUAGGCAGCAGCACGAAUAAACAAUGGGACAUUUGAACCAGGAAGAGCCUGUGGUUGAGGCCAAAACAGGCACCAAGGUUUUCUCUCAGCUCCUACCAACUCCUUUUAUGGCCUCUGGGCCCAGUUCCUUCUUCAUAAAAAGUCAGAACUGGAAAAGGCCUCGAGUCACUGGGUCCAACCUGAGCCAACACUUUCCUUUUCUAUAGAAAAAACCCGUCGUGCUGCCUCCCCGGCUCCAGCCAGGUUUACAGCACCAGAAUCUGGGCCGGCAGCGUCCUUCACCGGAGGGAAAUUCUAACCCUGGGGCGGGACCUGGGCACGUCCGCCAGGGAGGCCCAGUCCCUGCACCUGUAAAAUGGGGGGCGGGCCUAACCGUAGCUUCUUCAAAGGCCCCCCGCCCCCAGCUUGAGGUUCUGUAUCUAGCCCCAGGGACCCGCCCUAACGAACAUCUAUUUCGGCCCCCUCUGUCCAACCGUUUCCUUCCCUCUGCCCUGAGAGCUGUAGGCAGCUAGCGUGUGUGGGCGCACGUGCGUGCAAGUGAUCAUGUGUGUG